GUCGACGAUGAAGCCCUUCGGGGUGGAUUAGUGGCGAACGGGUGAGUAACACGUGGGCAAUCUGCCCUUCACUCUGGGACAAGCCCUGGAAACGGGGUCUAAUACCGGAUAACACCUGCCCGGGCAUCCGGGUGGGUUAAAAGCUCCGGCGGUGAAGGAUGAGCCCGCGGCCUAUCAGCUUGUUGGUGAGGUAGUGGCUCACCAAGGCGACGACGGGUAGCCGGCCUGAGAGGGCGACCGGCCACACUGGGACUGAGACACGGCCCAGACUCCUACGGGAGGCAGCAGUGGGGAAUAUUGCACAAUGGGCGAAAGCCUGAUGCAGCGACGCCGCGUGAGGGAUGACGGCCUUCGGGUUGUAAACCUCUUUCAGCAGGGAAGAAGCGAAAGUGACGGUACCUGCAGAAGAAGCGCCGGCUAACUACGUGCCAGCAGCCGCGGUAAUACGUAGGGCGCAAGCGUUGUCCGGAAUUAUUGGGCGUAAAGAGCUCGUAGGCGGCUUGUCACGUCGGGUGUGAAAGCCCGGGGCUUAACCCCGGGUCUGCAUUCGAUACGGGCUAGCUAGAGUGUGGUAGGGGAGAUCGGAAUUCCUGGUGUAGCGGUGAAAUGCGCAGAUAUCAGGAGGAACACCGGUGGCGAAGGCGGAUCUCUGGGCCAUUACUGACGCUGAGGAGCGAAAGCGUGGGGAGC
rnacentral:rRNA from 1 species